UUGACUUGGAGCUGAGGGGUCCUGGAAAAACACACUUAAAAUAAAAAUUAAAAACAAAAAGUUUAAAAAAGAAAAAACACCUCAAAUUCCAUAUUUACAGAACACCUCGUAUGUGUCAAAGGACUUGGGGGACACGAAGGCGGAAGCUAUGGUCCCCUCCACUUAGGGCGUUCAGGCAUGCCAAGGAGACAGGCCGUGAAGUGUCGGUUUCUACCUCCCGUGGUAUCAGCCACACAGGGGGUGCUCAGGAAACGCUGGGUCCCUGCCCCGCCCCCUUGAAGCGCCCCGAUUCAGCAGAAUAGAAUGAUCCAUGUGUGAGCAAAGCACUGGGGCAAAGCAUGGGGAGAAGCAGUCAGAUCUGAUGGAUGGAGAGGCUUCCUCCAGGAGAAGCCUGGGAGGACGAGAACCUGAGAGAAGCAGAGGGAAGCAGAGAGAAGCAGAGUACCACAGGGCCCCCAGAAAUGUGUGCAGUCAGUGUCAUUUUGUUCUAACAGUGAUGUGAUGCCAUUGAACUUAACUCCUGUUUAUGUCAGUCAGCCUAGGGGACCACUGGUCUCCUUAAAAGUCAUUUUACUGAAAGUCACAGAACCUGCUGGUGACAUUAAAUGAGGACUUACUGUAUUGGGUGGAGAAAACAGGUCACAGAAAAAAAUAUUCACAAUUCAUACUUCUAGACAUCUCAGUCACUUGUCUAAGUGUAUUUUCAUGCAAAAAAAAAAAAAAAAUCCACCCUGAAAACAAGACUAAUUUCUGACGGUGAGGACACUUACAAGUGCCUCCUAGCAAUACUUGGGGCUGCCCCUGCUUUCUUGUACCCGUUUGUCCAUAGAAACAAGACUCAUUAAAAAUUCAGCAGAUUCACCUAGUUGAACAAUAACAUCCUUUUUAUUUAAAACAAAACAGAGUAAAGCAGUUAAAUCCUCCAAGUGGCGACAAAUUAUUAAUGACUGUAAAGUGUGUACAAAAGAUUCCCCUCAGUGUUUCAAAAGAGAAAGGUCAACCAGCUACCUAAGGAAAGAUGAAAACCAAACAGCAAUGGAAGUCACUCUGCGGGGAUACUGCUCAGUCCCUGGGACACCCAAGGCUUGUGCUGGCGGCUUGAUGGUACUUAAGACUCACGCCCUCUGAGGCGGGUUCUGUUGUUCUGCCCACUUUACAGAUGAAGAAACUGAGGAGGGAGAGCUAUUUUAGGUAACUACUUUCCAAAUUCCAGCUUGACUGGCACACCAGAAAAAGAAUACACUUCACAUUCAAAGCAACACAGAAAGUGUCUCGGGUACAGUAAGAACAAAAAUAUGUUUCCCUGUGUACACCCAGUAAUACCCAUGAUGUGAAAAGCAAGUGAAAUCAGACCCACUCAUGGGCAGAGAGAAACCAGAGUGGGUCAAGGUCGCGGGUGCUCCCAGUGUCUGCUCUCCUCGGGCUGCUGGUCAGAGAAGGGACACGGACCUGGGGCCAGAGGCUGGGCGCUGCCUCCCUGCAGUCUGCUGUGGGGUCUCACGCCGCGUCCCACCCGCACAGACCACAGAUGACCCGACGCAGGGGUGACAGGACAUACACUGCAGAGCAGAAGAACCACAUGUCGCUACCACAUCCACAACACCCUCUAAACCGACAUUUCUUGGCAGGGGGUUCCAGAAAAUACUGCUCAAUCAGCUCCUGUGUCACAUGAGAACCUUGACCUCAACUGACCUCUCGGGUUUCCUCAACACAGUUAACAGCCGCUGUUCCACGACAUUCCCCAAAACAGAUUAUGGCCCUUCUAUCGACUCGGACCCAAUAGCUAAGGACACUUGCUAAGGGGGGAUCACAGUGACAAGCUGGACCCAAACUAACCCAGCACACGCAGACAAGCGCACGAGACCCACGGGGAGGCGCCCAUUCAGUGAGCACUGCCAGCUAAUACGAAACACAAGUCCUUCUAUCAUUCGUUCGUGAACAGCCAUCUGCAGAGCAGCGAUGUGCCAGGCAUUAAGAUGCUUUGGGCGAUGCACCACGUGACACGCCCUGGGCUGGCUCCAGGGUCAGUGACCAUGAAAGCCAAAGAGACACAGCUUAGCUCUCCGGAGGGGCAGGCUUUCAACUCAGUGUCGGCGUUCAGACAGUUAAAGAUUCUACCAGAAAAGAAGGAGCGAGGUGGCCAAACCUGAGCCUGCCCCUGAUGGCCCAUGUGCGGUGGUGGCCAUGUGGUCCGGAGCACCCAGCGCAGCACUCACCAGGAAAGGCAGUCCCUGAAAGCGUUGUAAUAGGGGAACCUGGAGAC